UCUAGGAAACGGUACCUCUUUGCGUUAUUUCUCAUCCUUGAUUCACGGUGUCGUACAGGAGAGGACACUUUGCCUCGCAAUAUGUUCAUCGACCGUGUUAUUGCUGACCUCGCAUUACUGUACUCUAGGGAAUUCCCGUUCCCCGUUCUUUCUUCUACCAGCUUCGCAAGACAGACUCUCCGAUUCCAUAGAAAGCCUCUUGAGAUUGAAGUUUAAGCUUUCGUCGUCGCCAUAUUGAGCAGGAUUCUCUCAAAGAACGAACACACUGCUUUACCGCGUUUACUUCCUUUUUUCAUUCUACCAUCACGUCUGCGCAAAAUACAGAAGCAGAUUGAACUUAGGGAAUGCGAAAAUCAGAAGAAGAUUCAGAAGUAUCUCAAGAAUAUGAAGAAGAAGAGGAAGAAGUAUAUAAUAACCGAUUUCAAAAGAGCAAUCAACAUUCCGACAUCACCCUAGUGGUCGAAGGUCGCAAACUUCAUGUUCAUAAAACUUUACUCAUGUUGCAUUCGCCUGUGUUUGAAAGAAUGCUUUUGUCUGACUUCAGAGAAAAAGGGUCUGAAGAGAUUCAGCUUCCAGGAAAGAAAUAUUUUGCAGUGGUCGAUUUUUUUUGGAGCAGAUUUAUCCUGGAAACCCCAUUGACUCAGUCAGUAGAGAAAACAUUGAAGACCUUCUUCAACUCGCAGAUGAAUACGAUGUUGAACAGGUGUUCACAAACUGUACACACUUCAUAGCCACGGAAUUAUGUGGCCAGUGCUCAGGACGAACGAUGUCGACAGAUAAUAUUCUGUUUUAUCUCGGACUGGUUGAGCGAUUCGAGCGACUUCGUUUACUAAGAAAGCCGUUGGUACAUCGAGCAAGUCAGAUACCUGUCCACGAGAUGGAGAAAAGCAAGUACUUUCUCUCUGUGCCUGCCUCAGCUACGAGAGAUGCCUUGCUGCUGCAAAUUAAGUCACGAAAUCGUCGCUGAUUAUUACAAAAGAUUUGGAGAAAAUAACCGAUGCAGAAAUGAUUUAGUCGACUUGGGACUUCUAGUCAAUGCAAACUAAUGAGGAGAUGUAAAGAAAGCCGUAUUGGUAAAUUUCAUUAGCAGCUUGUCAUUUCGUUACUAGUCAUCGUUUAGCAUGCGAAUAACCUUUUUUUAAAAACGACUCUUCUUUCAUAUAUCAACUAUAUUUGUUAUAUCAAGACAGUAUUUAACAAUAAUAUUGGCUGUACAUUGAAUGAGUUUGAUCGAAUACUCAAAGGUUCUCUGUAACGGAAUGGUUUAAAUGUAUGUGUAGCUGUCUGAGAUUAUUAUACAAGAAGUAAACCAUAAAUAACUGUACGUUCAUUUUCUAUUUCAUGUAUCCUCCAUCGCAAAUAAAGGUGUUUUUACUUGCAAUAA